AGCAGUAGCCGCGGUAAUACGUAGGUGGCAAGCGUUGUCCGGAAUUAUUGGGCGUAAAGCGCGCGCAGGCGGAUCAGUUAGUCUGUCUUAAAAGUUCGGGGCUUAACCCCGUGAGGGGAUGGAAACUGCUGAUCUAGAGUAUCGGAGAGGAAAGUGGAAUUCCUAGUGUAGCGGUGAAAUGCGUAGAUAUUAGGAAGAACACCAGUGGCGAAGGCGACUUUCUGGACGAAAACUGACGCUGAGGCGCGAAAGCCAGGGGAGCGAACGGGAUUAGAGACCCCCGUAGUCCCUGUCUCUUAUACA
rnacentral:rRNA from 1 species